CAUUUGUCUAUAUGCAGUUUUACAUAACGACUUGUCUUUUAGCCUUGUACUAAUCAGUUUCUUUUUUCUUUUUCUGCUUUCCUAUUUACCAGAAGUGGGGAAGUGAUCAUAUUGCUUUGGUUUCGGAAUUGGCUUUCACUAAUGAUACAUCGGCCCAUGAUACUAGCGUCCAAAAUCAGUAAAAUCAUGUGCACUCUAAAGGACUAUACGAGUUUUCAGGUGAAUAGAGGUUGAAGAUUUCUCAUGCAGUCAUUGGAAGAGCGUGCUCUCUAAUUUUCCGCAUAAAUAUGUUAAUACUGUUUCUCUUAAUUUGGAGUUUUAUCCUUCAAUUGGAGGAAUUUCAAUCAGUUAUAACCUGGCGAUCUAACUCUUUAUUGCUUCAUCUCUUGCAGUACGUAAAACCUUUUGUUCUUCCCGUGAAUGAGGGGUGAGAUUCAUCAACGAAGGGUCUUCAAACAUAGAGACGAAGAGAAGACAAAGGGGGUUUAAGGGUGCUAGGGCGUUCAAAAUGCUAGUGCCUCAAUAAGGUAUCGGCAGAUGAGUUCAUGGGGGCCAGCGGAGUAUUUUAUCUUGAAUUUUGAAGGAUUUUUGUACAUUAGCUUGUUUAUUUCUCUUUUGUUUUAUUCUAUGCCCCAGAAAAGAAAAAAGUACUAUUGUCAUUAUUGAGUUAAUUAACUGUAAAGGUUGUCAGAGUUGACUUUUAGAAAGAAUUUUAUUUAGAAAGCUU
rnacentral:lncRNA from 1 species